CUGUACGCCACCUUCUGAUGUCUGCAGAGAACCAAGACGCUGAACCAAGCGCUGAAUGGGACACGGAUAUAGCUACUCUACUGCUCUUAAUACACCUCCUCCCACCACAACCUGUCGGCAAGAAGGCUGUGAAGAUCAGUGCAGAUGCUGCAUCUGAAAGGCUCAUUGUUUAUUACAAGUCCUGUUGCAGUUUUGAAGAGGCUCUCAGCAAACGUGAUCACCAUCAUCCACACCUCCUUGCUGUUGGAAGAAACCAAAAUCGGAUCGACCAGUUCUACAUUGUCUUGGACAAAAAGCUGAUUCCUUGUGAGGCAGCAAGUGCAGUGGGUGCAUUUUAUGAUCUUUUUAAAUUGCACUUUGUUUUCAAUUUGGCAUAUGAUCAUGCACUUCACAACUUCUACACAUUUGCCCAGACUACUGUAUACAAAAUUGACAUUGGAAAAACUAAAGAAUCACCAAGGGUUA